UUCACAUAUGUUGAAUUUUACCAUUUAAAGCUAUAUUCAGAAGAGUUAUCUCAUUUGACAACCCCCCCCAUAAGCUUGAAAAACAGGAUUUGGAUGUUGAAGAGACAGAUAUCCACACAUUCUAGACAAGAAAACUGAAACCCAGUGGUAAUAAGUCACUUCCCCUGGGUCACAGAGAUCAUUUAAGGUUAACCUUGGUACCUAAAUUCUCAGAAUUCAGUGCUCUUUCCACUAUACUACAUAGGAAGGGCAAGUAUUACCAUACAUUUUAUAGAAGAGAAAACUAUGGGCAAGAGAGAUGAUUAUUUACCAAAGGUCACAAAACUACUAAAGGUCAUUCAUGAAGCUGUAACUAGAAAUUCUGGCUCCUGGACUGAAUUCCAUUUUGGGAUAAGAGAGUAUUUUAUUCCCUAGAGAAUCCAACUCAGGUCUCCAUGAAAUGAUGGAUGACUUCUGACCUUCAGGAGAAGGCUAGUAGGUUAGAGAGUAGCAUGAAGGAAGAGAAAAUAAGGCUCCAGGACAGUGUCUCCAUAGCAAUGGAACCUUAGGAAUAGUGGUCUUAGAAGAGUGGAAAGAAUGGGAGUAGUACUAUGUACCUCAGAGAAGAUGGAGCUAGAGGAUUAUAAAAGGGAACAAACAUACUCCCACCCUCCCUGUUGGCUCCCUUUGGUGUCCUGCAGAUGGCCACUCCCUAUAGCUCAGCUGGGACUUAUCUAUGCAUGUGUGCUGUACCAAGUUCUCCAGAGGGUAUAAAAGACCCCCAAGUCCUGUCAUUCUUUGGAGAAUCAUCUCAUGCAGUGCAUUCUCCCAGAGAUACUAUUCCCAGAGUCCCAGAGCCCUUGGCUUUGUGUAGUUUUUAGGAGCCUGACUCUGUGUGGCGGCUGAAUAUUUGAACACUAUCUCCUGAUUAAAGACUUGGUUUGUGCUGA